rnacentral:RNase_P_RNA from 2 species
CGAGCCGGGCGGACGGCCGCGUGGAGUCCCUUCAGGGGCUUCCCGAGGAACGUCCGGGCUCCACAGGGCAGGGUGGUGGGUAACGCCCACCCGGGGUGACCCGCGGGACAGUGCCACAGAGAACAGACCGCCGGGGACCUCGGUCCUCGGUAAGGGUGAAACGGUGGUGUAAGAGACCACCAGCGCCUGGGGUGACUCAGGCGGCUAGGUAAACCCCACCCGGAGCAAGGUCAAGAGGGGCUGUCUUCGGACGGCCCUGCGCGGACGAUCGAGGGCUGCCCGCCCGAGUCCGCGGGUAGACCGCACGAGGCCGGUGGCAACGCCGGUCCUAGAUGGAUGGCCGUCUCCCCGGCCGCCGCGAGGCGACCGAGCGACAGAACCCGGCGUACAGCUCGACUCGUCUG